UCCAUCUGAUAGUUCCCAGAAGAUGGUCUGUAACUUUACUCAAUAUGUGCUGUCCUGUGAAAAUGAGGAUGAUGGGGACCUCACAAAGCUGACGGUAGAAGAAACAAUGUGAUUAAUGUAUAGAACACACUUAUUAUAUUGCCUAAAAGUAUAUAUGGCUUUCCUCAAUAUUAAUAGUUACUCACCACCUGAAGGCCAUUGCUAAGAAGAGUAUACUGAUGCUGCUGUUAAAUAGACAGCUAGAGGAUCCCAGGGAUUUAAAGAACCAUUUGCAGGAGUUUCUCUUGUGAUUUGCCAAGAUUGGUUUUGGAUUCUCAAGUUUUACUGUACUAGUCCGUCAUUUCCAAAGGCUGCACAGUUUCAAAGGCUGCCUGUCUCAAUACCCACUCUUCUCUCUGUCACUUAGCAACAUGAAGCCUCCUUUCUCUUUUACUUCCCUCUUCUUUUUCACUCUCUUCUUUCUUAUUCUCUGCUCCUUUCUCCUGUUUCCACCAGCACUUCGUGAGUGGACUUCAUCCAAAAUGCAUUCUUCCAAUCAAUAUACUCUUUUAGCUUAACACUCAAGGAUAGUUGGCUUGGUCUCUGACUAUUUUAAUUACACUUCUCAGAGAGAAACGGAAUUGGCUGAAAUAGCCUAUUUUAGCCAAUGGGUUGAUUCCUGGGGGUAAAAAUGAGCACAGGGGCUGUGUGCAUGUACCGCUUAUUUUAAGCCUCCCCUUCAGAGGUCAUAGUAUGCCAAGCUCGCGGGGAGAUGAUAUAGUCCUGGCCUCUUGCAUAAAUCAUGAACACAGUGAAUGCUUGCAAAAUAAUGGCUGAAUAAAUAAGAUGCCACAAAGACUGGGGUUGUUUUAGGAAUUUAAAGCUUAUUCCCAGCUUUACUAAUCUUCUUGAUAACUGAUAAUCAACAUAUGCUGAGUGUUUAUCAUUAGCCAAACAUUGUCCAAUACAUCAGUCAAUUGGCAUACUGAGGUACUUCAACUCUAUCAUACUCACUCCCCAUGCAGUAUAUUGCAGACAAAGUAUGCAUUAGCAAUGCAAGUGUGCAUGAACAUACUGCUGCUGGUAUCUGACACUGUAUAAUGAUAAAAAUAAGGAUGGAGAUACACAAUAGCCACUUUAUAGAAAAUAAGGAAAUCAAAUCCUUUUCUGGUAUACAGUGGUGGCGAUGAGCUACAGUGUAUAGCUGUGUUGUUUGUAACAUUUAUAUUCUUCUCACUUUCCCUAUUCUUUCUGGUUAUAGAUCUCAUUCUUACUUUGAUAGCUCAUUUGAUCCAUAUCCACUUGAUCAUUAUAUCCCAUGACUAGUAUUACCAUAUGAAACAUUUUUUAUUCAAUUUGUAUUACACUGCACAGUAAAAGCCAGGCAUUACCAAAAGCACUUUGAAGGAGAUGUGAGAAGAAAGACGAGCAGAGUCGAUGAUAAGGGAAAAUGUUUUCUGUGCAAGAAAGAAUCAUCAUGAAUUUUGGUUUUCUAGUCAACAUAUCUACCUAGCUGCUUAUUGAAGAAUUCCUGCACAAUAUAGAUUUUUGGCUCUUUUCCUUUGCCUACUCAUCUUUCAUCAAUUUACAUGAAUUUCCAUAUUUUCUACAAAUCCUAU
rnacentral:lncRNA from 1 species